AAAAAUUAAAUUAUGUAUCCCAGAAUGCAAUAUUUCAGGGGAAUUGAUAUGUCGGUGAAAAAGGUCACAUUAGUGCAUUCAUUGACCAGUCAAAUAGUUCCUUUUUAAAAAUAGAAAAACUGUUUUGUAAUGUGUAUUUGCAUGUGUAUUCUUAAUAAGGGGUCCCUUUGAAGUCAUAGAUGAAAGACGAGGUGUUUAUUGGAAAUGACAGACAAGCUAUCCAUUGAUUUCCCCCACCCAAAAUAAGGCGCAAUAAGGUGGUGAUUGGGCCAAUAUUUACAAUAACAUGUGCAUGGAUUUAUUUGCAGGAAACCGCACGUGGAAAUGGGAUUCAGGCUUUGCCCGACUCAUAAUUGCACAUGCAGGCAGAGGUUGUGUAUUGGAGUUUAUAAUUUCAGGUGCAGGGAUGUCAGUUUGUUCGGGGCGAGGAUAUAAGACUGAUUCCACCAGUUGUGUCUGUCUCCACCUUCACACACCACUGAAUUCCUUCGACAUUUUGAACAGUCUCCUGAGUAGCAGAGGAUGGUACUUUCUACGACAAGAGGAAGUUUACCACAGAUGAUGUUGAUGUCUCCAGUGGAAACAUCUCGGGGCUGAAGUGGGCACUGCGACACUGCCGGAACUGGGCUCUGCUGACAUGGGUUGGGUCGGCCAGUCGAGUGACUUGCCAGUCUGGAUGAAAAAUACGCAUGGCAUCUUGGAAUCCCUGGGCUGACCGGGCAUCACCGUCUGUUGUGGCGUGCUUCACCUUGAACCCGUCCGCUGCCAGAUCUUCGCCUAUGGAUUUAGCCAUCUGGUACUCUGAAAGAGGUGAGAACA